CCUACGGGGGGCAGCAGUGGGGAAUAUUGGGCAAUGGAGGCAACUCUGACCCAGCAACGCCGCGUGAGGGAUGAAGGUCUUCGGAUCGUAAACCUCUGUCAGCAGGGAAGAACGGUCACUGUGCUAAUCAGCAGUGAAUUGACGGUACCUGCAAAGGAAGCACCGGCUAACUCCGUGCCAGCAGCCGCGGUAAUACGGAGGGUGCGAGCGUUAAUCGGAAUUACUGGGCGUAAAGCGCUCGUAGGCGGUAUGUCAAGUCAAGGGUGAAAUGCCCGCGCUCAACGUGGGAACUGCCUUUGAAACUGGCAAACUGGAGUGUGUGAGAGGAUAGUGGAAUUCCAGGUGUAGGAGUGAAAUCCGUAGAUAUCUGGAGGAACAUCAGUGGCGAAGGCGACUAUCUGGCACAUAACUGACGCUGAGGAGCGAAAGCGUGGGUAGCAAACAGGAUUAGAUACCCCAGUAGUC
rnacentral:rRNA from 1 species